GGUCCUAUAGCUCAGUUGGUUAGAGCNNACCUGACUCAUAAUCAGGUGGUCCCUGGUUCGAGCCCAGGUGGGACCACAA
rnacentral:tRNA from 1 species